AAAAAAUUUUAAAAGUUAAAAAAGUUAGGGUUAGGGGUUAGGGGUUAGUGGUUAGUGGUUAGUGGUUAGUGGUUAGGGUUGGGGUUAGGGUUAGUGUUAGGUGCCGCGAAUUUAUUAUUAAGAUAAAUUCAAAAUUUGCCGCGAAUUUAUCAUAAUGAUAAAUAGUAAUAGUUUCAUAUAGUAAAUUCAAAGGUGGAGCUCAUGCUGUAAAAUCGACACAGUGGGAAUGGCGACGCCUGAUCCGCGAGAAAUUAUAUUGACACAAUUGGCGCAGAAAUGUAUAGUCGUGCAUUCCUAUAAAUGUUUUGAUAUACGAAAACAUGACACGGUUUUGGGAGCGAGAGGAAGCAUCCACGGUCUUGCAUGGUAAAGUAAUGAUUUAGUCGUUAAAAUUAAUCAGCAAAUUUUCAUAAGAUUUUUGCAUAUUGAU